GCGCCGGUGGUGUAAUGGCGUAGAGCAUUCCUGUCCGGUUAGAGGGAGGUGCGGGUUCGAGUCCCACCUGGCGCU
rfam:Heligmosomoides polygyrus genome assembly, scaffold: HPBE_scaffold0004309